rnacentral:rRNA from 1 species
UACGUAGGGUGCAAGCGUUAAUCGGAAUUACUGGGCGUAAAGCGUGCGCAGGCGGUUUGCUAAGACAGAUGUGAAAUCCCCGGGCUUAACCUGGGAACUGCAUUUGUGACUGGCGGGCUAGAGUAUGGCAGAGGGGGGUAGAAUUCCACGUGUAGCAGUGAAAUGCGUAGAGAUGUGGAGGAAUACCGAUGGCGAAGGCAGCCCCCUGGGCCAAUACUGACGCUCAUGCACGAAAGCGUGGGGAGCAAACAGG